rnacentral:piRNA from 1 species
UGCAGUAGUAGGAACGCCUCAGGACC